AUCGCUUCUCGGUCUUUUGGCUAAGAUCAAAGUGUAGUAUCUAUCCUAACGCUAAUGCGUCUUCACAGUUUUUUUUUUUUUUUUUUUUUUUUCUGUUUCCCAUCAAUGGCGGUAGAGUCCAAAUUCUAAUAUAAAGAGAAGAGCAAACUCCCUCCAUCAGUCCAAUCUCAAAAUGAGGGAAGAAAGA